rnacentral:rRNA from 2 species
AUGGGCGGAAGCCUGAUGCAGCGACGCCGCGUGAGGGAUGACGGCCUUCGGGUUGUAAACCUCUUUCAGCAGGGAAGAAGCCACAAGUGACGGUACCUGCAGAAGAAGCGCCGGCUAACUACGUGCCAGCAGCCGCGGUAAUACGUAGGGCGCAAGCGUUGUCCGGAAUUAUUGGGCGUAAAGAGCUCGUAGGCGGUUUGUCGCGUCUGCUGUGAAAGCCCGGGGCUCAACCCCGGGUCUGCAGUGGGUACGGGCAGACUAGAGUGCAGUAGGGGAGACUGGAAUUCCUGGUGUAGCGGUGAAAUGCGCAGAUAUCAGGAGGAACACCGAUGGCGAAGGCAGGUCUCUGGGCUGUUACUGACGCUGAGGAGCGAAAGCAUGGGGAGCGAACAGGAUUAGAUACCCUGGUAGUCCAUGCCGUAAACGUUGGGCACUAGGUGUGGGGGACAUUCCACGUUCUCCGCGCCGUAGCUAACGCAUUAAGUGCCCCGCCUGGGGAGUGGGGGACAUUCCACGUUCU